rnacentral:rRNA from 1 species
GAUGAACGCUGGCGGCGUGCCUAAUACAUGCAAGUCGAGCGAACGGACGAGAAGCUUGCUUCUCUGAUGUUAGCGGCGGACGGGUGAGUAACACGUGGAUGACCUACCUAUAAGACUGGGAUAACUUCGGGAAACCGGAGCUAAUACCGGAUAAUAUUUUGAACCGCAUGGUUCAAAAGUGAAAGACGGUCUUGCUGUCACUUAUAGAUGGAUCCGCGCUGCAUUAGCUAGUUGGUAAGGUAACGGCUUACCAAGGCAACGAUGCAUAGCCGACCUGAGAGGGGGAUCGGCCAAACUGGAACUGAGAAAAGGUCCAGAAUCCUAAGGGAGGCAGCAGUAGGGAAUCUUCCGCAAAGGGCGAAAGCCUGACGGAGCAACGCCGCGUGAGUGAUGAAGGUCUUCGGAUCGUAAAACUCUGUUAUUAGGGAAGAACAUAUGUGUAAGUAACUGUGCACAUCUUGACGGUACCUAAUCAGAAAGCCACGGCUAACUACGUG